UAGGGAAUCUUCCGCAAUGGGCGAAAGCCUGACGGAGCAACGCCGCGUGAGUGAUGAAGGUCUUCGGAUCGUAAAACUCUUUUAUUAGGGAAGAACAAUUGUGUAAGUAACUAUGCACGUUUUGACGGUACCUAAUCAGAAAGCCACGGCUAACUACGUGCCAGCAGCCUCGGUAAUACGUAGGUGGCAAGCGUUAUACGGAAUCAUUGGGCGUAAAGCGAGCGUAGGCGGUUUUUUAUGUCUGAUGUGAAAGCCCACGGCUCAACCGUGGAGAGACAUUGGAAACUGGAAAACUUGAGUGCAGAAGAGGAAAGUGGAAUUCCAUGUGUUGCGAUAAAAUGCGCAGAGAUAUGGAAGAACACCAGUGGAGAAGACGUCUUUCUGGUCUGUAACUGACACUAAUGUGCGAAAGCGUGGUGAUCAAACAGG
rnacentral:rRNA from 1 species